CUAUUCACUAUAUGAAGUCUAUAAAGAUGUGCUGGAGUCAAACAGUGUCCCAACCUCAUGCGUGUGAUGCAGCUAAAAAACUUUCUGUCAAUAUAUUUGUGUUGAUGAUACCAAGGUUUCGUUGGUAAUUCUUUCUGUAUUUUGCUGUACCAUUUUCCUUUGGUCUGCAGGGUAUUGUCCCAUGUACAAGUGAAGGAGCAGUGACUACAUUAGAUGAGACUGGUUCUAUGUCCAGAGGACUCAAUUCGAGUUGUUUGUGAAGAAUGCUAUUGUUUAAGGAUACUAUUUUCAAAUAAAAUCUUUGGGCCAACUGUAAUCUACGCAAAACCAGAGGAGGAGAGACACAGUAUGAUGAUGGUUGCACAUUUAUCUCAAGAAAAGUUGGAAGGUGGUAACUACCCAUUGGGUCAUCAUGAACAUACCAAUUGCAAAGAUGAGCAA